GCUGUAGGAAGUUAACCCAUAGACAGCGCUCCCUGCUCCUGAGCUAUGCAGAGGAAGAGACUGACGUGUUGGGGACUGUCAACGGAGUUACUGCUACUACCACAGGUGGGGGCAGGAGUGGUCAGCGCUCUGAGUCUGGGGCAGGACAGGACAGAACAGAGGGGCAGGAGAAGAAAGAAGAGGAGGAGGGCAUCCUUUCCAAAAUAAAGAAAAUCUUUAUCUGACAGCCACACCUCAGGUAAGAGAUCAACAGGACCAUAAUGGGAGAAGGUAAGCUACUGGCCCUCUGUCCCGCUCACUACCCUCCCUCACCUACCGCCUGGAUAAAGUG